GCUGACCAUUUGACUACGCAGGGCCCUGCGUGGCCUGACUUGGAAAGAUGAGCUGGAUAAAGCAGAUUCCUAUGAGUCUUGCUCUGUCACCCAGGCUGGAAUGCAGAAGUGCUAUCUCAGCUCACUGCAACCUCUGCCUCCUGGGUUCAAGCAAUUCUCCCGCCUCAACCUCCUGAGUAGCUGGGAUUACAGAUUCAAGGUGCAGGGGCAGUCAAGGAAUAGACUCCAUCUCUCAAUGCAGGAAGAGCUUAUGCACACAGAGAGGGAAGGGGAUGAUGGACAGGAACCAUCUUGGAGAUGAACCACCACAUAGCCAUCGGCUCUUUUCUUCAAAAACCUGGACUCUGCCAGAGAACAUUGUCUGACUGGAACUGUAUUCUGCUUGCCUGUGGCAGAAUUCAGGAGAGUUAACA